UACGUAGGGUGCGAGCGUUAAUCGGAAUUACUGGGCGUAAAGCGUGCGCAGGCGGUAAGUUAAGUCUGAUGUGAAAGCCCCGGGCUCAACCUGGGAAUGGCAUUGGAAACUGGCUUGCUGGAGUGUGGCAGAGGGGGGUGGAAUUCCGCGUGUAGCAGUGAAAUGCGUAGAGAUGCGGAGGAACACCAGAGGCGAAGGCGGCGACCUGGACAGAUACUGACACUCAACUACGAAAGCGUGGGGAGCAAACAGG
rnacentral:rRNA from 1 species